rnacentral:tRNA from 1 species
GCCCCGGUGGCGGAAUCGGCAGACGCGCCGGACUUAAAAUCCGGUUCCCCAAAAGGGAGUGCGGGUUCGAAUCCCGCCCGGGGCACCA